rfam:Schistosoma curassoni strain Dakar, Senegal genome assembly, scaffold: SCTD_scaffold0000831
AUCCAACCAAUGAAUCCCAAAUAGGAUGAAAUGCGCGUCUUGGAU